rfam:Ciona savignyi cont_32102, whole genome shotgun sequence.
GGCUCGUUGGUCUAGGGGUAUGGUUCUCGCUUCGGGUGCGAGAGGUCCGAGGUUCAAUUCCCGGACGAGCCC